rnacentral:rRNA from 1 species
GAUGAACGCUGACAGAAUGCUUAACACAUGCAAGUCAACUUGAACUUCGGUUUGGGUGGCGGACGGGUGAGUUACGCGUAAAGAACUUGCCUCACAGAUAGGGACAACAUUUGGAAACGAAUGCUAAUACCUGAUAUUAUGAUUAUAUGGCAUCGUAUAAUUAUGAAAGCUAUAUGCGCUGUGAGAGAGCUUUGCGUCCCAUUAGCUAGUUGGAGAGGUAACGGCUCACCAAGGCGAUGAUGGGUAGCCGGCCUGAGAGGGUGAUCGGCCACAAGGGGACUGAGACACGGCCCUUACUCCUACGGGAGGCAGCAGUGGGGAAUAUUGGACAAUGGACCAAGAGUCUGAUCCAGCAAUUCUGUGUGCACGAUGAAGUUUUUCGGAAUGUAAAGUGCUUUCAGUUGGGAAGAAAAAAAUGACGGUACCAACAGAAGAAGUGACGGCUAAAUACGUG